rnacentral:rRNA from 1 species
GACGGAGGAUGCAAGUGUUAUCCGGAAUCACUGGGCGUAAAGCGUCUGUAGGUGGUUUAAAAAGUCCACUGUUAAAGGUUGAAGCUUAACUUCAAAAAUGCCGUGGAAACUUUUAAACUUGAGUAUGAUAGGGGUAGAGGGAAUUUCCGGUGGAGCGGUGAAAUGCGUAGAGAUCGGAAAGAACACCAACGGCGAAAGCACUCUGCUGGGCCGACACUGACACUGAGAGACGAAAGCUAGGGGAGCGAAUGGG